CACGUAGUUAGCCGACACUUAUUCCUGGGGUACUGUCCUUGUCUCAUCCCCAGAAAGGGCUUUACAACCCGAAGGCCUUCUUCGCCCACGCGGCGUUGCUGCGUCAGGCUUUCGCCCAUUGCGCAAUAUCCCU
rnacentral:rRNA from 1 species